rnacentral:rRNA from 1 species
ACGGUCCUAAGGUAGCGAAAUUCCUUGUCAGGUAAGUUCUGACCCGCACGAAAGGCGUAAUGAUUUGGGCACUGUCUCAACAGCCCGCCCGGCGAAAUUGUAGUACCGGUGAAGAUGCCGGUUACCCGCGACAAGACGGAAAGACCCCAUGGAGCUUUACUGCAGCCUAAUAUUGGAUUUCGGUAUUUCAUGUACAGGAUAGGUGGGAGACUGGGAAACACAGGCGUCAGCUUGUGCGGAGUCGCCCUUGGGAUACCACCCUUGAAGUGCUGGAAUUCUAACCUGUGGCCAUGAAUCUGGUCAGGGGACAUUGUUAGGCGGGCAGUUUGACUGGGGCGGUCGCCUCCAAAAGAGUAACGGAGGCGCUCAAAGGUUCGUUCAGCACGGACGGAAAUCGUGCAUUGAGUGUAAACGCAUAAACGAGCCUAACUGCGAGACCGACGGGUCGAGCAGUAACGAAAGUUGGAGUUAGUGAUCCGGUGGUAUGUGAGUGGAAAUGCCAUCGCUCAACGGAUAAAAGCUACCCUGGGGAUAACAGGCUGAUCUCCCCCAAGAGUCCACAUCGACGGGGAGGUUUGGCACCUCGAUGUCGGCUCAUCGCAUCCUGGGGCUGUAUUCGGUCCCAAGGGUUUGGCUGUUCGCCAAUUAAAGCGGUACGCGAGCUGGGUUCAGAACGUCGUGAGACAGUUCGGUCCCUAUCUGUCGUGGGCGCAGGAUAUUUGAAAGGAGCUGUCCCUAGUACGAGAGGACCGGGAUGGACGCACCUCUGGUGCACCAGUUGUCACGCCAGUGGCACAGCUGGGCAGCUAUGUGCGGAUCGGAUAAACGCUGAAGGCAUCUAAGCGUGAAACCGGCCUUAAGAUAAGAUAUCCCACUGAGUCAAUCAGGUAAGACCCCUUGAAGACUACAAGGUAGAUAGGCACAAUGUGUAAGCAUGGUGACAUGUUAAGCUAGCGUGUACUAAUCGGUCGAGGGCUUGACCAA